UGCUCAUUAGAAGUCCAAGUGAUUCCCACCACGGUUUGAGAGAGAGCUCGGAUUCCUUACCCAGAGGCUGACCAGAGCCCAUCCCCUCCUGGAGAAACGGAGAUAGCUCACCUUCUCCACACUCAAAAGAGCUGAGUGAAGUUACAUGACAUUUCCUAGGAAGCAAACUUAGUGGAACUUUAGAUGUGCCUGGGAACAGUGUCUUCAUGCGAGAUCUUCCCUGCUGAGGACUCUUGAUGCUGCAGAAGCAGGUAGACGCAGCUGUGCUUAGAAGGCAACAAGAUCUCCAGACAACAGACCCGGUGACAUCUCCAGGUGAUCUGAUCUCCUAUAGUGGGUCCCCAGUGGUGGCAUCUUAAAUGGCAUCAGGGAUGUAUCAAAACCUUCAAAACCCAAAACCAAGGCAGAAAGUUUCUGGAGAUGUGAGGAAGUACCCUUCCAAUGGUGAUGAAAGGGAGUGGAAAGGGUGAGAAGAAGAUGAUGUCAGAAGCAAGCAGCCUGGAGUACUGUCACUUUUCCAUGGCCAGUCUAUUCUCUUCAAACCUAUCUUAUACAUUGGCUUUGGUUACUGGAGGGCAAAAAAAAGGAUCAACCAUUCUAUUUGUUGGGGGGGGGUAUUUUUCUCUUCACAAUCAUUAGCAUCGCUGAACA
rnacentral:lncRNA from 1 species